AAGAGUUUACAUUGAUUAUUUGCAUAGAUGAUGAACAGAAAGGGAAUUGAUUAAAGAAAUAAUCAAUAAAUUAAAGUUCAACCAAAAUGCUAAUCUUAAAUAAUUAAAAUAGACAAGAUUUGUAUGCUUCAAAUAACUCAUAAAUAGCGCCAUUCAACUCUCGAUGAUUCAACUCUUUUCCCUCCCUUUUUUUUAAUAAACCAACACAUGUUUCAAUCCAAUUCAUGGUUUUGCCCAACUCGUCAGCCGGCUAAUUAGUAGUUUAAUUAUUAGUUUUAUAUUAAUUAAUAACACCAUCUAAUAAUCUUGUUUAAUAAUGGAAUCACCAGUUUUCCCUAUUAAUUUUAACCGAAUGGUAACUGUUUUGUCCGAGUCUGAGGUUAUUCCAGUGUUUUAUUGUGUCGAUUUGGACCUUAAAGCUUCCAAAAAUAGUUUACUCAAAGCCAAUAUUUGAUACAUUUUUAUGGUUAAAACAUGGCUUUUGCAAAUACAUCUUAUCAAAGGUUUGGUUAAAUGUUCAAUACACCUCUAAUGGCUAAACAAAGAUUCAUAAUGUGGUCCAUGUUAGAAGAGAAAAUUAAGUUGAAUUGAUUUGUGGAUUGUUUUCUGUAAAGCCUCACAUUUCAUAUUCAUAAGUCGACCAAGGUGUGAUUGAGUUAAUAACCAGGAAUCCAACUGUUUGAUCAGACGGCAGGAAAAAAAGACAUCAAAAGAUCAAUCAAAUGGACUUGAACCUCCUUUCAUCAUCAUCAUACCUUGAUGUGAAACCAUUAUGCUGAUGGUCUGACUGUGGCAACUUCAUUUCAACUUGGAGAUGAAGAACAGAGAAAGUGAGAGAAGAAGGAAAAGUUUCCUCAUGUUCAUCAUGUUUUUGAUGAGCACAACUUGAGAUAAAGUUGAAGAUGAGAAAGGAAGGAAGGAAGGAAAAGAAAGAGAAGAUAAGGUGUUAUAAAGUGUUGAUAAACCUUCAUCUCACCUUCAUUUUACUCAUCCUCUUUUUUGGUCUCAAAAAAAUCAUUACACUUUCCUACCUUUGCUCAUCAUGAGCAUCACCUGAACCUCACUGAGCAUCAUUCAGUUAUCUUUUAAUCAUCUUAAAAACAUUAUUAUUCUGUGUAAAGAAAUUUCCACUUUUCACUCCUUUUCUCUCUUCUUCUUCCUUCUCGUCUUUUCAUUUCAAUUUCAAUUUUGAUAACUCAUCAUGAUGACUUUACUCAUUCUCAUUCCCAGAAUGUUGAGCUAAUCUUACCUUUUCAACCAUUAUCGAUCCCCUGAUCAUGGUAAUGAUGGAAAACAUUAGCAGCAAAUCAAUACUCAUCACUUUCCUCAAACCCUUACUUUGAAAAUUAUUUUAAAAUAUUAUUGAUUAUUUAUUCUUUUCUAUUCAUUUUUCCUCCUUUUUUCUGGUUUAUUUUGGGUUAAACAUUUAUUUAAUGUUAACCAAAUGAUCAGCAAAAACAAGACAAUUUUCACUAACCAAAUUGCUAUUCAACUCAACAAUUAGCCAAACAUUUAUCAAACUGAAAGACAACAAAAAAGUGAACACACAAAUAUCAAUCAAUUAAUACACAAUCAGAUCGAUGAAAAUGUCACAACAAAUGUUUGUAUUUACAGUGAACACACAAUUUAUCAAAUUUCCACCAACAACUACCAACAUUGUUAACCUUAUUAUCAAUUUUUAUCAUUUAUUUCAUUUCAUUCCAUGAACAUCCUUUUUCCGUUUUCGGUGGUUACCAAAGGAUUUAACCAGUUAAUGUAUACAGUUAAUAAUGGUUAAAGUCAAUGUUUAACCAUUUGAUUCAUUUUUCAUUUUUUCAAUGU